GUCCGCACGAGCCCACCCUCGCCCUUAGUUGCCAGCAUUUAGUUGUGCACUCUAUGGGGACUGCCGGUGAUAGCCGGAGGAAGGUGGGGAUGACAUCUAGUCCUCAUGGCCCUUACAGGCUGGGCUACACACGUGCUACAAUGGCGGUGACAGUGGGCAGCGACCUCGCGAGGGGUAGCUAAUCUCUAAAAGCCGUCUCAGUUCGGAUUGUUCUCUGCAACUCGAGAGCAUGAAGUUGGAAUCGCUAGUAAUCGCGUAACAUCAUGACGCGGUGAAUACGUUCCCGGGCCUUGUACACACCGCCCGUCACACCAUGGGAGUUGGUUUUACCCGAAGGCGCUGCGCUAACCCGCAAGGGAGGCAGGCGACCACGGUAGGGUCAGCGACUGGGGUGAAGUCU
rnacentral:rRNA from 1 species